AGGUCAGCAUACUACGGUGAAUACGUUCCCGGGCCUUGUACACACCGCCCGUCCAAACCAUGAGAGUUGGCAACACCCGAAGUCGGUAGUCUAACCGCAAGGAGGACGCCGCCGAAGGUGGGGUUGAUGAUUAGGGUUAAGUCGUAACAAGGUACC
rnacentral:rRNA from 1 species